rnacentral:tRNA from 1 species
AGGUCCUGGGGUGUAACAUGCGUGGUUGCAAACCAUGAGAAGCAGGGUAAGUCUUGCCGGGAUCU